rnacentral:rRNA from 1 species
UAGUACCGCAUACGUCCUACCGGAGAAAGCAGGGGACCUUCGGGCCUUGCGCUAUCAGAUGAGCCUAGGUCGGAUUAGCUAGUUGGUGAGGUAAUGGCUCACCAAGGGGACGAUCCGUAACUGGUCUGAGAGGAUGAUCAGUCACACUGGAACUGAGACACGGUCCAGACUCCUACGGGAGGCAGCAGUGGGGAAUAUUGGACAAUGGGCGAAAGCCUGAUCCAGCCAUGCCGCGUGUGUGAAGAAGGUCUUCGGAUUGUAAAGCACUUUAAGUUGGGAGGAAGGGUUGUAGAUUAAUACUCUGCAAUUUUGACGUUACCGACAGAAUAAGCACCGGCUAACUCUGUGCCAGCAGCCGCGGUAAUACAGAGGGUGCAAGCGUUAAUCGGAAUUACUGGGCGUAAAGCGCGCGUAGGUGGUUUGUUAAGUUGGAUGUGAAAUCCCCGGGCUCAACCUGGGAACUGCAUCCAAAACUGGCAAGCUAGAGUAUGGUAGAGGGUGGUGGAAUUUCCUGUGUAGCGGUGAAAUGCGUAGAUAUAGGAAGGAACACCAGUGGCGAAGGCGACCACCUGGACUGAUACUGACACUGAGGUGCGAAAGCGUGGGGAGCAAACAGGAUUAGAUACCCUGGUAGUCCACGCCGUAAACGAUGUCAACUAGCCGUUGGGGAGCCUUGAGCUCUUAGUGGCGCAGCUAACGCAUUAAGUUGACCGCCUGGGGAGUACGGCCGCAGGUUAAAACUCAAAUGAUUGACGGGGGGCCCGCAACAGCGGGUGGAGACAUGUGGU